rnacentral:rRNA from 1 species
UACGUAGGCAGCGAGCGUUGUUCGGAGUUACUGGGCGUAAAGAGUGCGUAGGCGGUUUUCUAAGUUUGGUGUGAAAUCUCCCGGCUUAACUGGGAGGGUGCGCCGAAAACUGGAAGGCUUGAGUGUGGGAGAGGUAAGCGGAAUUCCUGGUGUAGCGGUGAAAUGCGUAGAUAUCCGAAGGAACAUCAGUGGCGAAAGCGACUUCCUGGACCAGAACUGACGAUCAGGCACGAAAGCGUGGGGAGCAAACAGG